rnacentral:rRNA from 1 species
UACGAAGGGGGCUAGCGUUGCUCGGAAUUACUGGGCGUAAAGCGCACGUAGGCGGCUUGUUAAGUCAGGGGUGAAAUCCUGGAGCUCAACUCCAGAACUGCCUUUGAUACUGGCGAGCUUGAGUUCGGGAGAGGUGAGUGGAACUGCGAGUGUAGAGGUGAAAUUCGUAGAUAUUCGCAAGGACACCAGUGGCGAAGGCGGCUCACUGGCCCGAUACUGACGCUGAGGUGCGAAAGCGUGGGGAGCAAACAGGG